rnacentral:misc_RNA from 1 species
GAUGAAGAACGUAGUGAAAUGCGAUACGUAAUGUGAAUUGCAGAAUUCAGUGAAUCAUCGAGUCUUUGAACGCACAUUGCGCCCCCUGGUAUUCCGGGGGGCAUGCCUGUCCGAGCGUCAUUGCUGCCCUCAAGCACGGCUUGUGUGUUGGGCCUCCGUCCUCCUCCCGGGGGACGGGCCCGGAAGGCAGCGGCGGCACCGCGUCCGGUCCUCGAGCGUAUGGGGCUUCGUCACCCGCUCUUGUAGGCCCGGCCGGCGCUUGCCGACACAUCAAUCUUUUUUCCAGGUUGACCUCGGAUCAGGUAGGGAUACCCGCUGAACUUAAGCAUAUCAAUAAGCGGAGG